rnacentral:rRNA from 1 species
GACGAACGCUGGCGGCGUGCCUAAUACAUGCAAGUAGAACGCUGAAGAGAGGAGCUUGCUCUUCUUGGAUGAGUUGCGAACGGGUGAGUAACGCGUAGGUAACCUGCCUUGUAGCGGGGGAUAACUAUUGGAAACGAUAGCUAAUACCGCAUAACAAUGGAUGACACAUGUCAUUUAUUUGAAAGGGGCAAUUGCUCCACUACAAGAUGGACCUGCGUUGUAUUAGCUAGUAGGUGAGGUAAUGGCUCACCUAGGCGACGAUACAUAGCCGACCUGAGAGGGUGAUCGGCCACACUGGGACUGAGACACGGCCCAGAAUCCUACGGGAGGCAGCAGUAGGGAAUCUUCGGCAAUGGGGGCAACCCUGACCGAGCAACGCCGCGUGAGUGAAGAAGGUUUUCGGAUCGUAAAGUUCUGUUGUAAGUCAAGAACGGGUGUGAGAGUGGAAAGUUCACACUGUGACGGUAGCUUACCAGAAAGGGACGGCUAACUACGUG